UUUGCUAUGAUUUUAUUUUGCAUUUAUCUAGUUAAAAAACCCUGUAAGCCUUCAUUAAUUAGACUUAACUAGACGGUGUGCAGUGGCAAAUUUGAAGUUUCUGGCUAGAGGCCUGAGAUACUGGUUCUUUGUAGAUUAAAUAAAAUGGAAUUAGAAAGUUAGAUGUGAAAAUUGUCAUGAAUAACAUUUAAAAUCUUGUUUAGAAAUGUGUACUUGUUAGAUUAAUGUUAACAAGGAUAAAUACCCGUGUAAUAGGAAUGAUUAUAUUUGUUCCAUUUACUGUAUGUUAGUCAUGACUUAAAAAUUAGACUAAGUAACCAUGCAGCUCUGUAAUUAGUUAUUGGCAUACAAUAUAUGCCAAUAAUCUGGUUUAUUGACUAGGGUAUCAUGCAAGGUAUGCAUUCAUUGAAUUAAGUAUUAUUGGAUGUAGAUUUUGCGGUUUGUAGUGCUAAAAAAUUCAUUAUAACAGUUUUUUGAUGUGGUCCUUUUUUAGAGGGGUGAGCUAGUUGAUUAUGGGUCCUAAGACCAAGAAGUGAGCUGUUGUUUUUGCUGAUCAUCCUGUGACAGAGUUAAGUUUAUCAGCUCUCUAGAUGCAGUGCAUGCUUCAUAUUUUAGCCUCUGUCAACACAUUAUUCUAAACCCUUAAUUUAGGGUGCAUUUGUGAAGAGCUGUAUUUACUCCCCUUUUCAGCAGCACUUUGUGCUUUUUAUUACUCUGCAUAUGCUAAGACUCAAAACCAACGAAAAAUAAAGUUAAAUUGGAAAAAAACAUUCUUACAACCACAAAAACAAAAGAAAAAGAAUAGCUUACCACCAACCUAUGAAAAUUAAUUCACUAAAAAAAGCCAUAAUGCAGUUUCUGAGGAUGCUUAAGAGAGAAAUCAAAAUAUCAAUUAAAUUAAAGGCAGUAUUGUAUGUGCCUUAUGAAGGAGAAAGUAAAACAUAACCCCUGCUGAGUUAUUUACUCAAUUUUUGUUACUGGAAGGCUUGAAAUUAAUUCAUCCAGUCUAUGAAUUUUGUAUUCUUACAUUCUGGAGUCUGCCAUACACUAGUUUAGUUUUGAAAUAGAUGCUAGGUACUAAUAUGAUAACUUAAUAAAUAUUGAAGGGCACACUGCACAUCAGCUAUAUUUUUAAAAGAGGCCAUAUUUACCCUUUGCUGCUUCCUUGUGAUACUGGAAGUUUCCACUUAGUACAGUGAGAUCUAAGUCUCUAUCACCAGAUGGAGCUGUGACACACAGAUUGCCAGUUAAAGUCUGCAGCACAUUAUCAGACAGUUUCACAGGAUUUUCCAUGUCUCUCACCUAUUAUAAAUGUUAAGCUUCUGCAUCAGAUUUAAUAUUGUGCAGUGCUUCCAACCCCUCAGGUAAUCAUUAAUAAGGCAAGAUUUGUUUCCCUAUCUUACAUUCAGUGAACAUGUUCACAAAGUCUAGUCUUGAUUUGAGAAUCUUUGACCGACUGACUGACUGAAUGAAUUGGUUUACAAACCAAUUUGCUUGCAGGUACAUUUUAAAACAGUGUGCUGACAUUAAAUUGUAUGAGUUUUACACUGUUGUCAACAGUUAACAAAGAGCCAGACUUCUGUCCAAACUGUGUAUACAGAAACCAGAACCUGAUCUACAACAACAAAAAAAUGUAGGCUAGCCUAGCUACACUGCUCAAGGGUGUGAAAAAUUAACCCCUGAGAGAUGUAGUUAGUCCAAACGAAGCCCUGGUGCAGACACUGCUAAAUUAAUGGAAGAAUUUGUCAACUUUAUGCUUCUCAAAAGGUGGAUUAACUGCAGUGAUGAAAAAAUCCUUUCCAUUGCUGUAGCACGUUUACACUGCAGCAGUGCCACCAUAGAGCUUGUAGAGUAGACAUACCCAAAGACUCAAUUCCUCAAUAUUUACAGGAAGUUUGGUGUUUGAGGCUCAGUCAGCUGGCAGUAGUAAAUGAUCUGUGCUCUGUGUUCCAGGGAAAGAAAACCUUAGGUCUCUCUCAGCUUGACUAGUUUCACAGCACAGCGUGGGCCUGUUUUUGUAUAAUACAGUGUGAGAGAGCUGCCUAGACCUAGAUUCCAGUGUAUCAUUUCAGAAUGAAGUCGCUAUACUAGAUAUAUAGGAUGACUUACUUUUUAAAAAGAAGCUUCUAAGAAUUUCUUGGUGAAACUUAAUUAAUUAUCCAAGAACAGCUUUUCAUUUCACUUUAUUAUACUCUGUAUCUAAAGUAAUAGGCCAAAAAUUUUCAACUCAGAUUACUUUCCAAAAUCCCUGUUCAGGAGUGGCCCGAUUUGUAAAGGUUCUGAAUACCUGCCUCUCAAAUCAACUUUAAAGGGAAUUGUGGAUGCACAGCUCUUCUGAAAUCAGAUCUCCUCUUUGGGUGCAUAAAUAUGAGUCUAGUUUUUGGAACCCAAAUUCAGAAAUGUUGUCUGUAGCUGUGUUUAUUCUGUGCCAUCAGCUGAAAAGCGUGUGAGAACUCUUUGGGUAGUUUAUUGCUGGUGAUUUUUGGAAUUCCAAUGACGUUUAUUUUAUUCAUUAAAAUGGGGAAAAGUCACAUUGCUGUGACCCACUACAUUACAACUAUCCCAUAAUUGAGAUUUUGAUGUUCUUACUGUAGGUGAAAGAACCAGUUCAAAAUAUGUACUUUUGGGCUUUCUUUUUGAGCUUUUGCCUCCCACAUUUUGAGAAUUUGUUAAAAUGUCUCCCACCUCCUUGGAUUUAUUAGCAAGCAGUUAGAUAUUUAACUCAUCACUACCAAUGAUGUUCGUUUAUCCAUAGCCACAACUGUAUUCAUCAUCUUGAAUGGGAAGUACUCUCAUGAGUAAAAUUACACAUGCAGAUUUGAGCAGUAAAAUGUCCUUUUUGUUUCAGGAAGCAAAAGUUGGAUUCUGCCAUACUCAUUUAAAUUUCAUGAAUAUUGGCCUUACAACCUUGUAUAAUUGGGCUCCAAGUCAGACAGACACAAAGAAAUAACCUUGAGUUUAUUGCAAAGGGAAAUACACAGAAAGUACUUUAAUUAUUAAUAGCAGUUGUACCAUUAUGUGUAUUCCCUGUACUAAAAAUUUACCUCAAUUCUCUGACACAUGCAUUGACAGUACCCACGUUACCAUGCCUCAGAGAAACAGUAAAGCUCAUUUUUCAACACAGGAUAUGAUUUCAUUCAUGUAGAAACACACUGGGGAAAGCGGGGAAGUUUUUAAUUUAGUGUUUAAAUCUCUGCCAUGAUAUUAGGAUUUUCAGAUAAAACAGUGUUUAUUUUUUGUUUGCAGAAAGCAGCUCUCCCUUUAUGAUGAUUUAUAAACCAUAAUCUGUUAGUGUACACAUCUGUUUCACUAUCUUAUUUUACACUUUAUCGUUAAACUAAUAUUACUCUUAAUAGCAUUUGUCAACCUUUUGUGAUUACUUUAUUGUAAUCAGUAGCAGGCAUGUAAGAGGUGGUACUACAACAUAUCCCACAAAAUACUUGUCUGACUUCCCUUCGUACAAACAUGAUGCUAGAUACUGCAGUACUGCUCAUGCAAUUCAACAAAUUAUAUUUUCAAAUGCAUGAAGUCUUUUAAUUGAAUUUAUCUUCCAUUGUACCUUUAAAAAUCUUACUGUAUCAGGAGUGCGCCUAUAACAAUUCAAUACAUAAUUGAGCAAGUAAAUGUGCUCUCAGGCCUCUAAUCAGUAAAAAUUAACAAAUGUAUUAGUGACAAUAAUAUUCUGAUGAUUAAGAUGAUAGUGUCUGGUUUAAAUUCAUUUUAGAAUAAUUUCUAGCCUUUGUUAUAACGACACAUCUGGAAUUUAGAUGAGAACUGAAAUAAUUUUUAAAAUCUAAUUUAAACAAUGUUGUGAAAAGUACUUUUCAAAUUUCUUCAAGUGGAGGAUGAAAAUGAACUAAUUAUUUUAAUUAUGGGUACAAACAAACUGUUUUAAUACUGAUAAAAGCAAAACAUGGGCCAUAUUUACAGGAUGGGGGAAACAGUAUUCUUGGAAGCAGUAACAAUGAAAAAAACAUUGUUGGUUGUGGAAUAUAAUCAGCGGAACAUGUGUUCCCUGUGUAAUACUGUAGUUAAAAGGGCUAAUGUAGUCCUUGGAUGCAUAAGCACAGGAAUCUUGAGUAGAAGUGGAGAGGUUAGGUUAUCUCUGUAUUUGGCACUGUUUGUGACUUUUGCUGGAGUAAUGUCUACAAUUCUAGAAGGAUGUUGAUAAAUUGAAGGGGGUUCAGAGAAAAGCCGCAAGAAUGAUAAAGGAUAAGAAAACAUGCCUUGUUAUGAUAUACUCGGGGAUCUCAGUCAAUUUAGCAUAACAAAGAUGAGGUCAAGUGUUAACUCAAUUAUAGUCUGUAGGUAUCUACAUGGAGUACAAAUAUUUGAUAAUGGGCUUCUUGAUCUGCAGAAAAAGGUAUAAUACAAUCCAAUGGCUAGAAAUUUAAGCUAAACAGAUUCAAACUGGAAAUGAGGUGCUCAUUUUAACAGUGAGUGUAAUUAACCACUAGAAUAAUGUAUUAAGAGUAGUAGUGGAUUCUCUGUCAUAGAAAAACAUCCAGUCCUCAUUUAAAAAUUGUCUAAGAGAUAUACUCUAGUGAUUAUUUGGGGAAAGCUCUGUGGCCUAUGUUUUAGAAGAGGUCAGAGAAGAUUAUUACAAUGGUCUCUUUCGGCCUUGGAAUCUGUGAACUGUACAUUGUAUUUAGUUUCCUAGAAAUCUCACUUUAUAGCUGUCAUGCAUUAGCACAAAAUCAGAGUUUGAGCUUUGAAUAUUGAAAUAAUGUUCAUUUGGAAUUUAAAAAGAACAAAAACACUCCUUGAAAUCUUUCAAUAUUCUGUAAAUUUUAAAGUAAUAUAUUUUUUCCAAAUGCUACGUUUCAGGCCAAAUUUGCAUCACAGGGUCCUUUUCAGAGGAAAAUGCUUUAAAGUUAUUUUAUUGGUGUUAGAUUAUUUUUAAAGGAAAACAUGUUUGAAGGGACUCAAUUUGUGAUGAAGAAACAUGACCAUGAGGGACUGAAGUGAUACUUCCAGCUCAUUUUAUAUGGUAUACCAAACAGACAAUUUUUGAAAGUUAACUAGGUCUUAAUUUUCUCUGACUGGGCACCCUCUGCUCCCACUGAUGUUGCAGGAUCUGAUACCGUGCAGUAUAAGGUUCCUAGGCUGGGUAUGAACUAAUAAUGUAGAAGCGAAAAGUUCUAUUACUAGUCUCCUGAACAUUUAGCUCCACGGUCCUCUGCCCCUGACUGUGUAAUGAGUAACCCAUUUAUUUUGUCUUGCCAAAUAGAUUUGAGGAUGCUCUCUUAAUAACAUCUCUAUUGUCAUUAAUUUAAAUAAAGACCCUUCCCUAUUAGUUUUCUGAAAUUGGGCUUAAAUCGUGAGUAAGAGAUUUUAUUGUCAUAUAGGAACUUGUCAGUUUGCAACUUCCCAGGACUCAUUUUCAACUAAUCUUAUAAAUGGAUCAUGUGUGAAGGGCCAGAGAAUCUCUCAGUGAAAGCCAAUUUAUUUAAUAGUUGUAUAUGUUCUGUAAGAAGCCAAUAUGAGUAUUAUUUUUAGUUAUAUUAAAUGAGCAUCUAGCAACCCCAACAGAUAGGCGUUCCAUUGUGCUAGACACUGUACAAACACCUAGUGAAAGACAGUUCCUGAAUAGCUAAAAACAGCUGGGUUGAUUUUCAGAGGACUAACAGUUUGUCUUGAUAUUUGUCCUAAAACGUUAGAGGUUGAACUGCACAGCAAAAACUGAGUUAAACAGAGAUUUCUGUGCAGCAUGUUCCUGUUAAUAAGUAUGUAGUGAUCUUCAGCACGAGUAAUUUAAAUUUGCAUAUUAAAAAUUUUUCACUUCUCUGCAAUGUAGUGGAUGCUUAAAGAAUGGCAGAAAAUAUCCCCAAAUCCCUUAUCACUAGCACUGCAAGUCUCAGUACAAUUGAUGAAAUCAGUGGCAGUCAUGAAGUUCUAGAAUUGGGCAUGCUGGAAUAUUGUCAGUGGACUUAUUCUGGUGAGUAGUGAUAUCCUUUUUUGAUGAACACUCUCUCAGCUAAACUUCAUUUUAUUUGUGGUUUGGAAUGCACUUUUAAUGCUUCUUUUUGGUAGGUCUUUGAGUUCAUUUUCAGGAAAAAAUUGCAUGAAAGAGUGAGCUGUACUGUAUCUUUCCUUCCUCCUGGUAUUUAAAUCAGAGAGACUUGUAAUUGGGCAGAGGAAAAAAGUACCAAAAAUGUUAAGAAUGGAUUCACAUUUAAGAAAAUGAAUCAAAUUAAAGUUGCCUCUCAAAGUAUGCUAAAAUACUCAACAGAGGAGUUAUCACACUGUGUUUGUGUGAGUGAGUGUGUGUGAGAGAGAGCGAGAGACACUAGUUAGAAUCAAGUGAGGAUUAAUUUUCAUCUUGGAGGUUAGAACAUUAAGGAAUAUUGUAGAAUUUCCCAAAAGUUGUCAAUGUAGUCUAUUUUAUUGUAUCAUUAGUAUUUCAUUGGAAGAUGAAAUAUUUUGGCAGCAAAUUUAGAGGAUUGAUUUAAAAAAUAACUCACGUGGUGUACCCAGUAUUAAAAGUACUUGAAAUAGCUAUGUUGGAGGUAGUAAUAUCCUUGUAGAAUACAAGUUGUUGGUCUUUCUGUUUUUAAUCAAGCAGCUCCAUGAAGCCAAAUAAUCUUUCUGCUGACUUAAGAUGAGAAUUUUGUGCAGUUUGGGAAAAUUAAAAACCCACAGAUCUUUCUGUGCCAUACAAGAAUGUGUAUAGUUGAGAUUCUAUCUCCACUGAAAGAAUAUAUCAUUUUGGGAUUGAGUUUUAGUGUGCAAGUGUUUUUACUCUUUUAUAUAAUUAAUUGUAUGUGUAUUACAUGAGGUCUUAUCAUUUUCAGGGGGGAUUUGUGUGUUUGCAAGCAGUAGAACGUAUAGUAGGCUUUUGGAGGCAAAAACUGAGCUCCUUAGUCCUUAUCUUGACAAACUUGUGUUUGGUGGGUAAAUGCAGACUAGAAAUGCUCACUUUGUACAUGUAAAUUCAGAUGCUCAGUGAACACACACUAUAUUUUGAUAAGAACAACCUACUUCAUUCAUGGAAAAAUGGCCCAGUCUUUCUUAGCAUCACUAACAAUUUGCUGCCACCUCAAGGCUGGUGUACAGAUGUCAAUUGGCUCAGCAUCCAUGUUGCAUGUUAGUUACAAACAGUAAAAAAUUGGUACUGUAUUUCAAGAGCCUUGCCUCCACACUAUUAUUUAGUUCUCCCACUAAGCAAACAGUGGAAUGAUAUCGAUUUUAGGUAUGGCUGAACCCUUUUUUUCAAAUGCAUAUUAUAACUAUAGUUUUAGAUAUCUGCCUUGCAGAGCUAUAGGUACAUUAGAAAAGAGGUUGUGCUUCCAAGUUAACUGGAUUUGAUUGCCAAUUAACUUGUUAGCUAACCUUUGCAAAUGCUAUUUUAGACACUCCACAAAUGUUUGUGUUUGCCGUUUGACAAAAAUCCAGUGAAGACUACAAGCAAAGCAUUUCAGUGUGUUAACAGGAUAUUUCUUUUCUUCGCCUGCUGGUCUGAAACCGAUAUAAAUAAAAGUUAACAAUUAUACUAUUUAUUUCAGCAUCCACUUACUUUACAAAAAUUUAACACACUGAGCCCCACAACUCUCCAAUGAGGUGGGUAAGCAAGCUAUUCAGAUUUUACUGAUGAGGAAACUGAGGCAGAUAAGUCAAGUGACUUCCACAAGGUAGCACAGCAGGUCACUUGCUAGAGAAAUAAUAAUGCCUUAAGAAUCUUAAUCCUGUGCAUUAGUGAACUCCUAGGAAAGAUAAAGGACAGGAAUAAAAUGAUACAUUUUAUAAACCAGAAAACAAAAAGAUAGCAUAACUGAGAGAGAAAAGAAGAGGGAAACAACGGACUGCAACCAUUUUCACCACCUAACCUCUUUUACCUAAGCUUAUUUUCUACUAUCCAUGUCGUUUUAGGGGAAUGAAAAAUAUUGGUGAUAACUUAUGUUUUUAGAUGCCCCAGUUAUUGUGCCUUUUGGAGGAAAAAGGGAGUGCUGUUGUCUGUUUACGUAGUUGCAAACAUCACAUGUCAGAUGUCCUGGAUAUGAUUAGAUAUAACAGUAACACAAUCUCGCCUGUCUUGUGGCUUUGUCUAUAUUCCAUGAUUACAAUAUGUAUAAUAUGAGUCAACUAUAUAGGGAAAUUAGAGAGAGGAGACACUGUUAGAAUAGACCACUAUAAAAAUUCUUCUGGACUUGCUUCUGUGAAAAAAAGGAUGAUAUGAGCUCAUAGGGUUGCCAGAUGGUUUCCCCCAGACAAAAAUUUGUCAAGCAAAAAAAAAGGGGGCCUUGGGGAGUACCCAGGGAAACCUGAGAGGAGGAUUCAGGUGGUCGGACCAAAAUGUGGUCGCAAUCUGCCCCUAAGACCAACUCUGUCCGUGGCUACUUGAAAACGGCAGCCCCGGGGCAACGGCCCAGCUUACCCACCCCUGAGACUGGCUCUGGAUAUGAGACAAUGAUUGACCAGCUGUAAAACAAGGUUAGUGGCCAAGAGGUUUUAGGUAUUGAAUGUCACUGAGAGUCUUCUAUUCCCAUCAGACGUAGUGGGUGUGUUGCCAUAGAGUUAAAUAUUUUUCACAUGGACUACAGAAUGAAGAAAUUAGUACUUUUUUCCAUUAAUUUUUCUGUCAGUAGGAUGACUGAUGUAUAUUUAUCUGUCAAUGUUUGCAAUAGGACCGCUUUAUUCUGACUAUUGAUAUAUUAUUGUGAAGGUGGAUAAAUAUAUUCAACUUUGAGCUGGUAGUUGUGCACUUUUAUAGAUACUUUGUGCAUUUUAGAGCAGACCGUAGAACAUUCUUUGAGAAAGUAAAGCUAUAAAUUUAAUUCUGGUAUGUUACCAACUGCUAGUUAGAAGUAAGGAGAUGUUAGGCUUAUAGAUAUGCUAGUUGAUGGAGAUUUAACUUUUUGGACUUUCAGACAACAGCGAUAGUAAUGAAGGAAGACAGCAUGGAGUAUUAAACAUGGAUUUCAUCUCCUCUAUGAAUGAACAGUUUGCAAAUUUGGAGAGAGAAUUUUGUAAUCACGGAAUGUUCCAUCAAGUGUACAUCCAGUUCCUUCACCAACCAUCCAGUAGACUCAGAUGGCGCACUCUACCAAAUACGGAUCCAAUCCUGCUCUCACUGAGGUGCUGUUUGUUAGAUUAAGUUCAGGAAUGACUGGAGUGGAAAAAUCUCAACAGCAGAGUGCCAAAGAUCAAGCAAGAUACAAGAGAGCAGGUACUUAAUUGUAUAGUAUGUGACUAAAUACAGACUUCAAAAUAAUUGGUAAAUACAGGAAUCUACAAUUGGCACCCAAAUUUAGAUCACUACCACCACCACUGAAAAUUGAUUCCAUUACAAUACAAAAAAAAUAACACCUGCCUCUUUAUUUUACUGUGUGCAGAUUCUAAUACUAUUUUACAUUCAUCUCCUGACCUGUAAAGAGCAAAUACAUACUGGCUUUUAGAUCACUCAAUGCUGUGAUCAUACACUAAUAGCAAGAGUUGAAGGUAGCCAACCACAUUCAAUAAUCCAUUUCAAAUCACCAUCAGUAUUGGGAGUGGCUCAUGCCUGUUGCAAUGUUAGCAAGAAAAGCCAAGGGAUUCUAAGAAAAGUUUUUCCUUUAUCAAGACAACAAUGGCUCAGUGCAUAUCAUUAGCUGCUGCACGAACAACAUUGUAAUAUUUUGCCCUUAAAUAGAGCUUUUCAUUGGUGGCAAACAUGAUCCCCCAAUUACAGAUGGAAGAACAGCGGUGUUAAAUGACUCACUUAAUGUCACCCAGCAAGUCAAUAGCAAAUCCAGGAAUAGAACCUGCCUCUGCCUACUGUCCUAUUCACUAGGCCAUAUUGAUAAUGAAAAUUAUUAGGAGCUAUACUUGACUCGUUCAGUAAGGGCUUGCAAAUAUGUUUUAUUAUAUCAGUCAUGCUAAGUUUUUUAGAGUAUGGUUUUAUUAUAGUCUAAACUUCUCAAGUAUUUUGCACAACAAAAAGGUAUUAUAGCUGCUUAGUUAAUUUAACAUGUCUAAAGGUGCUGCUGGGAGCAUCACAGAUUUUCUCUGAGGGAGGACAAUUACAUGAAACUGCUCCUGAGUUGAGUAUUUUGUACUACACUGAACACAGAAGUGAAUGGUUUUUCAUCUACCCACUCAAGUGAUAUUUUGUUAAAGCAAAGUUUCCACUCAAGAUUACCGUAGAAGAAAAAGAAAACAAAAACCACACCCCACAAAUGAAGACAUGCUGAGCUGUUACAUUCAUACAGCAACAGGCUCUUCAAAAAGUUCUACAACAGGUCAAGGAACCAAAGCUUUAAGGAAAUGUCAGCGCCUUUUAUAAAUCUAUAUAUUAAUUCUGGAAUGGGUAGGAGUAUAUACUACUUUUUACACCUCUCACCACUUCUGUUUCCCAAAUGGGUGGUUUUUUUUAAAAAAAAAAUCACAUUGGAGAUGUUUUCUUAAGCUGAAUUUAAUAAUUGUGAAUACUCAGCUCACAGAAGAUUUGAAAGUACAAUUGUGAUUUAUUGUCCUUCCCUUGCAAUCAGGCUCAAAUAGCUUGACCACAGUAAAUUCAUGUUUCAGGAUAAUUUUUAGCUCCACAGCAACCCACUUUCAUGUCUUAAAAAGCUGUGUUAACUUAACAAUAGAUGCUGGUAAGACAGACUCCAACAAAAGACUCUCAGAAAUUAGAGAAGGGAAAAGACCCAUUUCAAAUCCUUCCCCAUGCAGAAUUGUCAUAAUGUUUCUCAAAACUAACAAUACUGUGGAGAUAAAAUAGAGACAAAAUGGUCCUGAAAGAAAAAGCAAAAGCACCCUGAAGCUUUUGUCCAAAAAUUGUUCAAUAUACACACAAUACACCACUUACAAAAUGUUCACAAGUCUCUCAGGAAUGUUUUCAGAGCCACACCCUGAUUUAUAAAUACUCAAGUUCCAGACAGUGGAAGAGUUGUUCUCACUAAAAACGGAUAAACAUGCUCUGUUGCAAGCUCAUAACUUUUUCUAGGGCUAGGUUAUUGUAUUUCUUAUUGAAGAUAAACACCAUAUCAGACACCUGUAAUACCUUAGUGCUAGCUAAAUCAACUCUUGCUCUAUGGUGG